rnacentral:rRNA from 1 species
GCGACCACGCGAGUGUGAGCGAAUCUCAAAAAUAAACGUCUCAGUUCGGAUUGUAGUCUGCAACUCGACUACAUGAAGCCGGAAUCGCUAGUAAUCGCAGAUCAGCAUGCUGUGGUGAAUACGUUCCCGGGCCUUGUACACACCGCCCGUCACACCAUGGGAGUCGGUAACACCCAAAGUUGGUAGUCUAACCGCAAGGAGGACGCCGCCUAAGGUGGGAUUGAUGACUGGGGUGAAGUCGUAACAAGGUAAC